GGGAAAAUCGUGCACUCAUUGCAUGGCAACCACCACGGGAGUUCUCCCCACAGAAAAGCAAAUUAAAACCUGAGUCAAAUAAUUCCCGAGGGAAGAACCCACCCCGAGGAGCACACAGGUGAGCCGCCCGACUGGCCCUGGGGAAUAUGCGGUUCUGGGGGGGUCCCCAGCGAGGCUUUGGUGCCAUGGCUCUGGCGCAGGAGUUCCUCUGAGCUGUUUCGGGUGCAGGGGCUUUCUUUCACUGACUGCAUGCCAGGGAGGGAUGUUGAUUUUUGGGGACCACAGUGUCACCUGACAAUCCAGGUGACGUGGCUCCUUCUCCAACGCCUUCUUGAAACCUGUAGAAGCUUCUCUGAGGCAGCGCGUGGUCUGGGAGCCAGAGAACCACAGGUGGGCUCCAUGAGGAGUGCACGCCCGGGGAGGGAGGACAGACAGGCUUCUCCAGAAAACUCCAAACUAGAGCAGGUGGCGAAGUUUAGCUGGCAGAUCUGGCACAGGGACGAGGCUCUGGAAGUGUGA
rnacentral:lncRNA from 13 species